rnacentral:rRNA from 1 species
UACGUAGGGUGCGAGCGUUGUCCGGAAUUACUGGGCGUAAAGAGCUCGUAGGUGGUUUGUCGCGUUGUUCGUGAAAACCUGAGGCUUAACCUUGGGCGUGCGGGCGAUACGGGCAGACUGGAGUACUGCAGGGGAGACUGGAAUUCCUGGUGUAGCGGUGAAAUGCGUAGAUAUCAGGAGGAACACCGGUGGCGAAGGCGGCUAUCUGGACAGAAACUGACGCUGAGGCGCGAAAGCUAGGGGAGCAAACAGG